GGGGAUGUAGCUCAGAGGUAGAGCGCAUGCUUUGCAUGUAUGAGAUCCUGGGUUCAAUCCUCAGCAUCUUCA